AGUUAAUUCUAUGGUCAAGCUACUAAGGGCGCACGGUGGAUGCCUUGGCAGAAUCAGGCGAUGAAGGACGUGGCAAGCUGCGAUAAGCUUCGGGGAGCCGCACACAGGCGUUAUAUCCGAAGAUCUCCGAAUGGGGAAACCCACAUGAGCAAACCUCAUGUACGGCCCGCUGAAUACAUAGGCGGGCACGAGCGAACCCAGGGAAGUGAACCAUCUCAGUACCUGGAGGAAAAGAAAGAAACCUCGAUUCCGAAAGUAGUGGCGAGCGAAAUCGGAACAGCCCAAACCCGUGAUAUUUCGGUAUUGCGGGGGUUGUAGGGUCUGCAACAGUAGAGUUACCAAUCCUCUGGUUAGUCGAAUCCGUUGGAAAGCGGAUCCAUAGAGCGUGACAGACGCGUAGGCGAAAACCAUGAGGACUCGAAGCAGAUACCUGAGUAAGGCGGGGCACGUGAAACCCUGCUUGAAUCCGCGGAGACCAUUCCGCAAGGCUAAAUACUCGAUUCUGACCGAUAGUGAACCAGUACCGUGAGGGAAAGGUGAAAAGCACCCCUGCGAGGGGAGUACAAAGUACCUGAAACCGUGUGCCUACAAGCAGUGGGAGGACUAUGCCCGCAAGGGAAUGUCUGACCGCGUGCCUAUUGCAUAAUGAGCCGGCUAGUUAUUCUUGUCAGCAAGGUUAAGCGUAAGCGAGCCGAAGCGAAAGCGAGUCUGAAUAGGGCGUUAAGUUGGCAGGAAUAGACGCGAAGCGGGAUGAUCUACCCUUGGCCAGGUUGAAGAUGGGGUAACACCCAUUGGAGGACCGAACCGGUGUUUGUUGAAAAAAGCUCGGAUGAGCUGAGGGUAGGGGUGAAAGGCUAAUCAAAUUCCGUGAUAGCUCGUUCUCUCCGAAAUAGCUUUAGGGCUAGCCUCGGAUGAUUUGCAGUGGUGGUAGAGAUCUGGAUGGACUAGGGGGCUUUCCGGCUUACUGAAUCCAACCAAACUUCGAAUGCCACUGACAACCAGUCCGGGAGUCAGACUGUGGGGGCUAAGCUUCACAGUCGAGAGGGAAACAGCCCAGACCGCCUGCUAAGGUCCCCAAGUUACAGUUAAGUGGGAAAGGAAGUCGGAACGCUCAGACAGCCAGGAGGUUGGCUUAGAAGCAGCCAUCCUUUAAAGAAAGCGUAAUAGCUCACUGGUCAAGCGGUCCGGUGCCGACAAUACAACGGGGCUAAAACUGUACACCGAAGCAGCGGAUGCACACCUAUGGUGUGCGUGGUAGGAGAGCAUUCUCAACAGCGUUGAAGUCAGACCGAGAGGAUUGAUGGAGCGUUGCGAAGAGACCCUGCCGGCAUAAGUAGCGAUAAUGAAUGUGAGAACCAUUCACGCCGAAAGUCUAAGGUUUCCUGAGGAAGGUUAAUCCGCUCAGGGUCAGGCGGUCCCUAAGGCGAGGCCGAGAGGCGUAGCUGAUGGACAUCCGGUUAAUAUUCCGGACCUCCCAACUCUCGUUUGACGAUGGGGAGACGCAGAAGGAUAGGCAGGUCGUCAUAUGGCUAUGGCGGUCGAUACGCGUAAGCUGGUGCCGGGAGGCAAAUCCCCCGGUGCUUAACAGUGAGGCGUAAAGCAAGCCCGUAUGGGUGUAAGCUGCCGAGUUCACGCUGCCGAGAAAAUCCUCUAAGGAGAGUAGUUGGGAACCGUACCCCAAACCGACACAGGUAGACGAGGAGAAUAUCCAAAGGCGCUCGAGUGAAAGCUUGUUAAGGAACUCGGCAAAUUAGACCCGUAACUUCGGGAGAAGGGUCGCCCACCUCUGGUGGGCCGCAGUGAAACGCGUACGGCGACUGUUUAACAAAAACACAGGUCUCUGCAAAGUCGAAAACGACGUAUAGGGGCUGACUCCUGCCCGGUGCUGGAAGGUUAAAAGGAGAGGUUAGCCGCAAGGCGAAGCUUUGAAUUGAAGCCCCAGUGAACGGCGGCCGUAACUAUAACGGUCCUAAGGUAGCGAAAUUCCUUGUCNNNNNNNNNNNNNNNNNNNNNNNNNNNNNNNNNNNNNNNNNNNNNNNNNNNNNNNNNNNNNNNNNNNNGGUAAGUUCCGACCUGCACGAAUGGAGUAACGAUCGUACGACUGUCUUAACGAGUUGCUCGGCGAACUUGUAGUACCGGUGAAGAUGCCGGUUACCCGCAGCUAGACGGAAAGACCCCGUGCACCUUUACUACACCUUUACUAUGAAUUAUGACUCUUACUGCGCAGGAUAGGUGGGAGGCUUUGAUACCAGGCUCUUGGGCUUGGUGGAGCCACCGGUGAGAUACCACCCUGUGAGCGUUGUGAUUCUAACCUGCUCCCGUGAUCCGGGAGAGGGACAUAGUAAGGCGGGUAGUUUGACUGGGGCGGUCGCCUCCUAAAUUGUAACGGAGGCGCGCGAAGCUACUCUCAGACUGUUUGGAAAUCAGUCGUCGAGUGCAAAGGCAUAAGAGUGGUUAACUGUGAGACCUACAAGUCGAGCAGAUGCGAAAGCAGGCCUUAGUGAUCCGGUGGUUCUGUAUGGAAGGGCCAUCGCUCAACGGAUAAAAGGUACGCCGGGGAUAACAGGCUGAUCGGAGCCAAGAGUUCAUAUCGACGCUCCGGUUUGGCACCUCGAUGUCGGCUCAUCGCAUCCUGGAGCUGUAGAAGGUUCCAAGGGUUAGGCUGUUCGCCUAUUAAAGCGGUACGUGAGCUGGGUUCAGAACGUCGCGAGACAGUUCGGUCCCUAUCUGCUGUGGGCGUAGGAGAUUUGAGGAGGGCUGUCCUUAGUACGAGAGGACCGGGAUGGACGAACCUCUUGUGUUCCAGUUGUCAUGCCAAUGGCACGGCUGGGUAGCGAAGUUCGGUUGUGAUAACCGCUGAAUGCAUAUAAGCGGGAAGCACGCUCCAAGAUGAGAUCUCCCUGAAGGGCCCAGGAAGACCACCUGGUUGAUAGGCUGGAGGUGUAAGCACAGUAAUGUGUUCAGCUUACCAGUACUAAUCGCCCGUUCGGCUUGUCCAUAGAA
rnacentral:rRNA from 1 species